AAAGGCUGAGGCAGGGGGCGGGGAGGUGACGCGGGCAGAGCCGGAACGCGAAAAAUCCGUCGGGGGCGCGCACGGGCGCCGGAUCGAUCGCGGCCGCUGCGGAGCCGGGGCGCGGAGACCAACGCCUGCCCCAGCUGCCAGGAAACUGCCGCUUUCAAACCCGCCGCAACCUCCGCCUCCUGCCUCUUCCCUUCCCCCCGCCCUCGCCCAGCCCUCUUCCAGUGCCCCGCCCCCUCGCGGCGCCCGGCGCGCUGCCGUCACCGGCCGGGCGCUCGGGAACGAGCCCAGCACUCAACUCUCUCGCCGGGGAUUGGCCUGCGGCGGGCAGCGGGCGGGCCGUCGGCGAGAAUGAAGACCACUAAUUGAAUUUUUCACAAUAGCCAAGAGGUGGAAGCAACCCGAAUGCUCAAGGAUAAAUGAAUAUAUAAAGACAAUGUGGUACAUACACGUAAUGGAAUCGUGUUCAUUUUUGAAAAAGAAGUCCUGUCACAUGCCACAACACAGAUGAAGCUUGAGGACAUUAUGCUCAGUGAAACAAGAAAUGCUACGUGAUUCUAUUAUAUAAGUCUAGAAAUGAAUGAAGACCAAACAAAUGAAAACAGCAAAGGUCAUGUAUUCUGUGCUUGCUGGAGCAAGGAAGUCAUCAACUACACGUGCUUUGGCAGAGAUUCAGAGGCCAGCAGAGCAAUGGAAAAAGAACCUUCAGGUGUCCCUGAGAGGAGGCUGCUGGCCUGGGAAAGCGGGAGGCCAGGUGGCUAGAAAAAGGACGUCCCGUGUGAUUGGACAGGGGCUCAUCUAAACUUUCAUGGAAUAAUUCCUGACCUUCAAGAAGGGAAGAGGGCAUGGCCAAGAAUACUUUUGGGAUAUAAUGCUUUUAGUUACCGAUUCUUACAAAUAACUAGACAUCAUUUCCCCUGCUUGGAUCUUGUCGACUACGAAUGUUGUGUCCAGCAGUUUUUGUUCCACCAUGAUUCCACCUGACAGACAAGGAUUUCUGGUUGACAGUUGUUAUAACAAUAUCUGACAAGUUUAAAGUCCUAACUGAAUUUGUAAUGCUUCCCCUUCUCCACUCAGGUUAAAAAGUAUCUUUCACUAAUAUUAAUUUCAUCGGUAACAUGAAUUAAAAGUUCCAUGGCUGCACUAUGAAAUAAAGCUAGUAGAAAUCA